rnacentral:rRNA from 1 species
UAAAGCUGCCUAAAAACCCUAAAGGCAUCAAAUCCUAUCUGAUCUUGGAAGCUAAGCAGGGUCAGCUCUGGUUAAUACUUAAUGGGAAAUUGCCAAGGAAUACCAGGUGCUGCAGGCU